rnacentral:rRNA from 1 species
CAGUAGCCGCGGGAAUACGAAGGGUGCAAGCGUUACUCGGAAUUACUGGGCGUAAAGCGUGCGUAGGUGGUGGUUUAAGUCCGUUGUGAAAGCCCUGGGCUCAACCUGGGAAUUGCAGUGGAUACUGGGUCACUAGAGUGUGGUAGAGGAUAGUGGAAUUUCCGGUGUAGCAGUGAAAUGCGUAGAGAUCGGAAGGAACAUCUGUGGCGAAGGCGACUAUCUGGGCCAACACUGACACUGAGGCACGAAAGCGUGGGGAGCAAACAGGAUUAGAUACACCAGUAGUCCCUGUCUCUUAUAC